AAGAGACAGCAGCCGCCACGGGAAUACGGAGGGUGCAAGCGUUAAUCGGAAUUACUGGGCGUAAAGCGCACGCAGGCGGUCUGUCAAGUCAGAUGUGAAAUCCCCGGGCUUAACCUGGGAACUGCAUUUGAAACUGGCAGGCUAGAGUCUUGUAGAGGGGGGUAGAAUUCCAGGUGUAGCGGUGAAAUGCGUAGAGAUCUGGAGGAAUACCGGUGGCGAAGGCGGCCCCCUGGACAAAGACUGACGCUCAGGUGCGAAAGCGUGGGGAGCAAACAGGAUUAGAUACCCCUGUAGUCCCUGUCUCUUAUAC
rnacentral:rRNA from 1 species